GGUUUUCGGAUCUAGAGACCGGCGCACGGGUGCGUAACGCGUAUGCAAUCUACCUUUUACAGAGGGAUAGCCCAGAGAAAUUUGGAUUAAUACCUCAUAGUAUUAUUGAAUGGCAUCAUUUAAUAAUUAAAGUCACAACGGUAAAAGAUGAGCAUGCGUCCCAUUAGCUUGUUGGUAAGGUAACGGCUUACCAAGGCAACGAUGGGUAGGGGUCCUGAGAGGGAGAUCCCCCACACUGGUACUGAGACACGGACCAGACUCCUACGGGAGGCAGCAGUGAGGAAUAUUGGUCAAUGGGCGCAAGCCUGAACCAGCCAUGCCGCGUGCAGGAUGAAGCAUCUAUGGUGUGUAAACUGCUUUUGUACUAGAAGAAACACUCCUUCGUGAAGGAGCUUGACGGUAUCGUAAGAAUAAGGACCGGCUAACUCCGUGCCAGCAGCCGCGGUAAUACGGAGGGUCCAAGCGUUAUCCGGAAUCAUUGGGUUUAAAGGGUCCGUAGGCGGUUUUGUAAGUCAGUGGUGAAAGCCCAUCGCUCAACGGUGGAACGGCCAUUGAUACUGCAAGACUUGAAUUAUUAGGAAGUAACUAGAAUAUGUAGUGUAGCGGUGAAAUGCUUAGAGAUUACAUGGAAUACCAAUUGCGAAGGCAGGUUACUACUAAUGGAUUGACGCUGAUGGACUAAAGCGUGGGUAGCG
rnacentral:rRNA from 1 species